GACGAACGCUGGCGGCGUGGAUUAGGCAUGCAAGUCGGACGGUAGAGCUUUAUCGUAAGAUAGAGUUUGAGAGUGGCGAACGGGUGAGUAACACGUAGGAAUCUACCCUUAAGACGGGGACAACCCAGGGAAACUUGGGCUAAUACCGGAUGAGAGUGCGAGAGAUUGCAUUUAAAAGGAUGGCGAAAGUUGUCGCUUAGGGAUGAGCCUGCGGUCUAUUAGUUAGUUGGUGAGGUAAGAGCUCACCAAGGCGAUGAUAGAUAGGCGGCCUUAACGGGUGGUCGCCCACACUGGGAUUGAGAUACGGCCCAGACUCCUACGGGAGGCAGCAGUAGGGAAUAUUGCGCAAUGGGGGGAACCCUGACGCAGCGACGCCGCGUGAGCGAAGAAGGCCUUCGGUCGUAAGCUCUGUCCUAUGGGAAGAAUAGGACGGUACCAUAGGAGGAAGCCCGGCCGUAACUACGUG
rnacentral:rRNA from 1 species